UUUAAUUCGAAGCAACGCGAAGAACCUUACCAAAUCUUGACAUCCUUUGAUCGCUCUAGAGAUAGAGUUUUCCCCUUCGGGGGACAAAGUGACAGGUGGUGCAUGGUUGUCGUCAGCUCGUGUCGUGAGAUGUUGAGUUAAGUCCCGCAACGAGCGCAACCCUUAAGCUUAGUUGCCAUCAUUAAGUUGGGCACUCUAGGUUGACUGCCGGUGACAAACCGGAGGAAGGUGGGGAUGACGUCAAAUCAUCAUGCCCCUUAUGAUUUGGGCUACACACGUGCUACAAUGGAUAAUACAAAGGGCAGCGAACCCGCGAGGUCAAGCAAAUCCCAUAAAAUUAUUCUCAGUUCGGAUUGUAGUCUGCAACUCGACUACAUGAAGCUGGAAUCGCUAGUAAUCGUAGAUCAGCAUGCUA
rnacentral:rRNA from 1 species